ACUUAAAUUGAAGAGUUUGAUCAUGGCUCAGAUUGAACGCUGGCGGCAGGCCUAACACAUGCAAGUCGAGCGGUAGCACAGAGAGCUUGCUCUCGGGUGACGAGCGGCGGACGGGUGAGUAAUGUCUGGGAAACUGCCUGAUGGAGGGGGAUAACUACUGGAAACGGUAGCUAAUACCGCAUAACGUCGCAAGACCAAAGUGGGGGACCUUCG
rnacentral:rRNA from 1 species